UACAGAGGGUGCAAGCGUUAAUCGGAUUUACUGGGCGUAAAGCGUGCGUAGGCGGUUCAUUAAGUCGGUUGUGAAAUCCCUGGGCUUAACCUGGGAACUGCAGUCGAUACUGGUGAACUAGAGUGCGGUAGAGGGUGGCGGAACUCCGGGUGUAGCGGUGAAAUGCGUAGAUAUCCGGAAGAACACCGAUGGCGAAGGCAACCACCUGGGCCUGCACUGACGCUGAGGUACGAAAGCGUGGGGAGCAAACAGG
rnacentral:rRNA from 1 species